AUUGAACGCUGGCGGCAGGCUUAACACAUGCAAGUCGAGCGGAGAUGAGGUGCUUGCACCUUAUCUUAGCGGCGGACGGGUGAGUAAUGCUUAGGAAUCUGCCUAUUAGUGGGGGACAACAUUCCGAAAGGGAUGCUAAUACCGCAUACGUCCUACGGGAGAAAGCAGGGGAUCUUCGGACCUUGCGCUAAUAGAUGAGCCUAAGUCGGAUUAGCUAGUUGGUGGGGUAAAGGCCUACCAAGGCGACGAUCUGUAGCGGGUCUGAGAGGAUGAUCCGCCACACUGGGACUGAGGCACGGCCCAGACUCCUACGGGAGGCAGCAGUGGGGAAUAUUGGACAAUGGGGUGAACCCUGAUCCAGCCAUGCCGCGUGUGUGAAGAAGGCCUUAUGGUUGUAAAGCACUUUAAGCGAGGAGGAGGCUACUGAGACUAAUACUCUUGGUUAGUGGACGUUACUCGCAGAAUAAGCACCGGCUAACUCCGUGCCAGCCGCCGCCGUAAGAC
rnacentral:rRNA from 1 species